rnacentral:rRNA from 1 species
AGGAUGAACGCUGGCGGCGUGCCUAACACAUGCAAGUCGAACGUCCUGUCUCGCAAGAGGCAGGGAGUGGCGGACGGGUGAGUACCACGUGGGUUAUCUACCGUGAGGUGAGGAAUACCGGCGAGAAAUCGCCGACAAGACCGCAUAGCCUCGGUGCAAGCCGAGCAAAGCUCUUUCGAGAGAGGGAGCGCCACACGAGGAGCCUGCGCCCGAUUAGCUAGCUGGUGGAGUAACGGUUCACCAGGGCGACGAUCGGUAGCUGGUCUGAGAGGACGAUCAGCCACACUGGGAUUGAGAACGGCCCAGACUCCUACGGGGGGCAGCAGUGAGGAAUUUCGUCAAUGGGGCAACCCUGAACGAGCAACGCCGCGUGCAGGAAGAAGGUUUUCGGAUCGUAAACUGCUUUUCGUCGGGGAAGAGGAACGGACGGUACCCGAGGAAUCACGCCCCGGCUAACUACGCGCCAGCAGCCGCGGUAA